rnacentral:rRNA from 1 species
AGUUUGAUCCUGGCUCAGGAUGAACGCUAGCUACAGGCUUAACACAUGCAAGUCGAGGGGCAGCAUUUUAGUUUGCUUGCAAACUAAAGAUGGCGACCGGCGCACGGGUGAGUAACACGUAUCCAACCUGCCGAUAACUCGGGGAUAGCCUUUCGAAAGAAAGAUUAAUAUCCGAUAGUAUAUUAAAACCGCAUGGUUUUACUAUUAAAGAAUUUCGGUUAUCGAUGGGGAUGCGUUCCAUUAGUUUGUUGGCGGGGUAACGGCCCACCAAGACUACGAUGGAUAGGGGUUCUGAGAGGAAGGUCCCCCACAUUGGAACUGAGACACGGUCCAAACUCCUACGGGAGGCAGCAGUGAGGAAUAUUGGUCAAUGGACGAGAGUCUGAACCAGCCAAGUAGCGUGAAGGAUGACUGCCCUAUGGGUUGUAAACUUCUUUUAUAUGGGAAUAAAGUAUUCCACGUGUGGAAUUUUGUAUGUACCAUAUGAAUAAGGAUCGGCUAACUCCGUGCCAGCAGCCGCGGUAAUACGGAGGAUCCGAGCGUUAUCCGGAUUUAUUGGGUUUAAAGGGAGCGUAGGUGGAUUGUUAAGUCAGUUGUGAAAGUUUGCGGCUCAACCGUAAAAUUGCAGUUGAAACUGGCAGUCUUGAGUACAGUAGAGGUGGGCGGAAUUCGUGGUGUAGCGGUGAAAUGCUUAGAUAUCACGAAGAACUCCGAUUGCGAAGGCAGCUCACUAGACUGCAACUGACACUGAUGCUCGAAAGUGUGGGUAUCAAACAGGAUUAGAUACCCUGGUAGUCCACACAGUAAACGAUGAAUACUCGCUGUUUGCGAUAUACAGUAAGCGGCCAAGCGAAAGCAUUAAGUAUUCCACCUGGGGAGUACGCCGGCAACGGUGAAACUCAAAGGAAUUGACGGGGGCCCGCACAAGCGGAGGAACAUGUGGUUUAAUUCGAUGAUACGCGAGGAACCUUACCCGGGCUUAAAUUGCAUUUGAAUAAUCUGGAAACAGGUUAGCCGCAAGGCAAAUGUGAAGGUGCUGCAUGGUUGUCGUCAGCUCGUGCCGUGAGGUGUCGGCUUAAGUGCCAUAACGAGCGCAACCCUUAUCUUUAGUUACUAACAGGUCAUGCUGAGGACUCUAGAGAGACUGCCGUCGUAAGAUGUGAGGAAGGUGGA